CUCGAUAAACUUUUUUUUUUGGAUUGAGUAUGCUGCGUAGGCCCUAAGGCCGCUACAGCGUCACCGAGUGG